CCUACGGGGGGCAGCAGUGGGGAAUAUUGGGCAAUGGGCGAAAGCCUGACCCAGCAACGCCGCGUGAAGGAAGAAGGCUUUCGGGUUGUAAACUUCUUUUGACAGGGAAGAGCAGAAGACGGUACCUGUCGAAUAAGCCACGGCUAACUACGUGCCAGCAGCCGCGGUAAUACGUAGGUGGCAAGCGUUGUCCGGAUUUACUGGGUGUAAAGGGCGUGUAGCCGGGCUGACAAGUUAGUAGCGCAACUCCGGAGCUCAACUUCGGAACUACUACUAAAACUGUUGGACUUGAGUGCAGGAGGGGCAAUCGGAAUUCCUAGUGUAGCGGUGGAAUGCGUAGAUAUUAGGAGGAACACCAGUGGCGAAGGCGGAUUGCUAGACUGUAACUGACACUGAGGCACGAAAGCGUGGGGAGCAAACAGGAUUAGAUACCCGGGUAGUC
rnacentral:rRNA from 1 species